rnacentral:tRNA from 2 species
GGGGCCGUAGUCCAGCUAGGUUAGGAUACGCGGCUCGGGCCCGCGUGGUCCGGGGUUCGAAUCCCCGCGGCCCCA